GACAGAGGGGGCAAGCGUUGCUCGGAAUCACUGGGCGUAAAGGGCGCGUAGGCGGGAUGGCAAGUCGGUCGUGAAAUCCUUCGGCUCAACCGAAGAACGUCGGCCGAUACUGCCGUUCUUGAGGGAUGCAGAGGAGAUUGGAAUUCCCGGUGUAGCGGUGAAAUGCGUAGAUAUCUGGAGGAACACCGGUGGCGAAGGCGGCAUUCUGGACCGAUAUUGACGCUGAGGAGCGAAAGCCAGGGGAGCAAACGGG
rnacentral:rRNA from 1 species